rnacentral:rRNA from 1 species
CCCUUAGAUGUUCUGGGCAGCACGCGCGCUACAAUGGUCUUCGCAAACGGAUGCAUUCUCGAAGGAGAAUGCCAAUCUUGGAAUCUAUGCCUUGGUCGGGACAGUUGCUUGCAAUUUUUCGACUCGAACCAGGAAUUCCUUGUAAUCGUGAUUCAUCACAUCUCGAUGAAUACGUCCCUGCCCUUUGUACACACCGCCCGUCGCUCCUACCGAUCGAAGAGUUAGGUGAAUUGUUUUGAUCGAUAAGAUUUGACUAUGGUCAACUCUCGUUGUGAAAUUCUGUGAAUCUGACUGUUUAGAGGAAGGAAAAGUCGUAACA